rnacentral:rRNA from 1 species
UACAGAGGAUGCAAGCGUUAUCCGGAAUGAUUGGGCGUAAAGCGUCCGUAGGUGGCUUUUUAAGUCCGCCGUCAAAUCCCAGGGCUCAACUCUGGACAGGCGGUGGAAACUACCAAGCUGGAGUACGGUAGGGGCAGAGGGAAUUUCCGGUGGAGCGGUGAAAUGCGUAGAGAUGCGGAGGAACACCGAUGGCGAAGGCAGCCCCCUGGGCCAAUACUGACGCUCAGGCACGAAAGCGUGGGGAGCAAACAGG